CAGAAAACCAUGAAGAUGAUGAAAAUGAAGAAGGACAAGAAUCACUGAUCCCCAGCUCCCACCCUGGAGGCCGGUCACCGAGGGCCUUUGAGGGGAAACGAGUUUCCAAAGGCCAGAGCUGCAAGUUUUACAAACACAGCUGCAGCCAAGCACUCAGGUGACCAGUUAUCUGCCGCUGCAGCUGGACCAGUUUGAUUGUGGUGACAGUAAAGCCAGGCUUGGCCUUUCCUCCACCAUCUGGAGCUUUGCAGCCAACAGUGAUUCUGGAAACCAGUGGCCACUCUUCUAAGGUGUUUGUUUUAGAUCUACAAUUAUAUAUUCAAUGAUGACCAGCUGUUCAAAAGUCCAAAUUUCCUCAGUCCUCUCUCGUUGGGUGGAGUUCAUCCUUAAAAGACUCCUCAAGAUGGAAGCAGGACUCCUUGACACAGGGACAGCUUGGUGACUAUAAAGUACUUGCCCACAAUGACUUUUAUUGAGUUUUUAUAAAAUAUUGUCCUGCUUUAUAUGUUCUGUUGAGUUGUAGAAGGUAAAUUAAUUUUCUCCCCAUUGUAUGCAAAUAGGCUUCUUUGAGGCAAGAGGGAGGUCUGGAACUUCAGAGGAACCUUUUUUCUUUUUCUUUAAAAUCUAUCAGUUCUAAGAGGAUAGGCUUAGAGUUGACCAUUCCAGUUAUAUUUCUCCCCGGGAUCUAGACUUUCUCUCUGAUCCUUUCUCAGCAUCUUUUCUUCAUUUUUGUUCUUUUUGAUGCUUUCAUUUCUUUAUUCAAUAUCCCUUAUAGUAUUUUUAGACAAAUAUGUUGCCCUUAUGAACAUUGUCAUUUAGCCUCUUUUUCAGAGAGUUUUCUUUUUCUUCAAUUUUUUUCCUAAUUUCUGCCAAUUCUCUCACUUUCUGUUUCCUGUCCACUUCUCUUUUGAACUGUGUAUUUCUUACACUAAGUUUUGUUUUCGUCACAUCUACAAAUGCUUUGUUAAGAACAUUUACUUCAGAUAGGGAUGUCAUUUUACAGUUUUCCCAUGUUUUGUGAUUGAUUUUGAGGGGUGUCGUUUCAUGAGCUGAAAUCUUUGACUCUCUAUUUCUGUUGUUCUCUUUUGUCACCUUGGAAUACAUGUCUGCUAGGAGAUUUCAUGUCAGUAUGCCUAGGUUUACCUGAAUGAGAAAUAAAAGUUUUAUGUGGGAAUGGAUAAGUGCUUUGAGUAGCUUAGUGGAUUUCUAGGUCUGGAUCUCUCUCUUUGACGCAAUUACUAUAAUAGAUGUAAGGUUUGGGGGAUACGUGUGGUGUGUCUUCUGAUUCUGGGAUUCCAUUUUCUUUCAGCAGGACCUUUAAUUUCUAGCUGUUGCUUCAUUCUUGCUCUUCAAUAGUAGCCUUCAAAGGAAGCUACCUUCAUCAGGGUCUCCCCCUGGCCUGGCAGAUGUGCUUCCCCAAGAUUGUCACCUCUGGUCCUCUCACUGUCGAACCCCUUCCUUUCUGUUCCCAAGCAUCCAGAGCUGUAGUCACCCAGGUCUCUGGCCUGCUCUGAGUUCAUCACACUCUCUUUCUAUGGAGAAUUUAUCUCUGUUCCCUCCUGAGCAGACCCUCCCUGCUGUCAGCUCCUCUGUUUGCAUGGACUUUACUGAUCCAUCCACUGCUGGACAUAAGCUUUCAACUCUGGGGAAACCAAAGAGCAUGAGUGAUCCUUGGAUCCUAUAGUAAGAGUUUGCUUAGUUUUGUAAGAAACAAUCAAACUCCCAAAUCCCCAAAUCCCAAAUAACUGUCUCGUUUUGCAUUCUCACCAGCACAGACUGAGAGUUCUUAUUGCUCCAUAUCUUUAUCAAUUUUUGGUGUUUAUUAUCAGUUUUUGGAUUUUAGCCAUUCUUAUAGAUGUGUAGUGAUAUCUUCUUUAGUUUGCUAUUCCAUCAUAAUGGCAUAUGAUGUUGAGUAUCCUUUUGCAUGUUUUACAUCUGUCUAUCUUCCUUGGUAAGGUGUCUAUUCAGAUCUUUUGACCAUUUUCAAAUUGGAUUGUCUGUUUUCUUGUUGAGUUUUAAGAGUUUUUAUCUUCGGGUAACAGUCCUUUAUCAGAAACAUCUUUUGCAACUAUUUUCUCUCAGCCUGUGUGUUAUUAUUUCAUUCUCUGAAAAAUAUUUUUCUCAGAAGUUUUUAAUUUUAAUGAGUCCUGCUUAUCAAAGUUUUCUGUUAUGGAUUAUAUUUUGCAUGUUAUAUCAAAAAAAUCGUCACCAUACCCAAGAUCAUCUAGAUUUUCUCCUGUGUUAUGUUCUAGAAGCUUUUAUACUUUUGUAUUUUACAUUUGAGUCUAUGAUGCAUUUUGAGUUAAUUUUGUGAAAGGUUUAAGAUCUACUUUCUAAAUUUAUUCCUUUGCAUGCGGAUGUCUAGUUGUUUCCAGCCCCAUUUGUUGAAAGGAAGGUCCUUUCACCAUUAAAUUGCCUUUGUUCUUUUGUCAAGGUUAGUUGACUGUAGUGUGAGUCUAUUUCUGGGCUCUUUAUUCUGUUCCAUUGAUCUAUUUGAAUAUCCUUUCACCAGCACCACACUGUUUUGAUUACUGAAGCUUUAUAGUAAGUUUUGAAGUCAGGUAGCACCAGUCCUUUGACUUUGUUCUUCUACAUCAAUAUUGUGUUCACUCUUCUGGUUGAUUUAUCUCUCCAUGCAAACUUUAGAAUCAGGUUGUUGAUACUCACAAAAUAACUUGCUAAGAUUUUGGUUGAGAUUGUAUUGAACCUAUAGAUAAGUGGAGAAGAGCUGCCAUAUUGACAAUAUUUAGUUUGCUCUUUUUUUUAUGGUUUCCGAAGAAGGAAGCAUAGGUGAUGGAUUUUAGAUCUUUCUCCUUUCCAAUACAUGGAUUCAGUGCUAUAAAUUUCCCUCUAAGCACUGUUUGCUGCAUCCCACAAAUUUUGAUAAGUUGUAUUUUCAUUUUUAUUUAGUUAAAAAUAUUUUAAAAUUUCCCUUUAGACUUCUUUGAUUCAUAUGUUGUUUAGAAGUAUUUUUAAUCUCCCAAUAUUUUGGAAUUUCCAACUAUCUGUCUGUUAUUAAUUUCUAGUUUAAUUCCAUUGUGGUCUUAGAACAUCCAUUGUAUAAUUCCCAUUCUUUUACAUAUCUUAAAGUGUGUUUUAUGGCCCAGAAUAUGGUCUACCUUGGUGAAUGUUCCAUGUGAGCUUGAGGAGAAUGUGUAUUCUGCUGUUGUUAAACGAAGUACUCUACAGAUGUCAGUUAUAUCAAAUUGAUUGAUUGUGUUAUUUAAUUCAAUUAUGUCCUUAUUUAUUUUCUUCCUGCUGAAUAUGUCAAUUACUGAUAGAUGGGUGUUGAAGACUCCACCGGUAACAGUGGAUUCAUCUAUUUCUUCUUGUAGUUCUAUCAAUCUUCGCUUCAUGCAUUUUGACACUCUGCUCUUAGAAGCAUACUUGUUAAGACUUGUUAUGUCUUUUUUGGAGAAUUGUCCCCUUUAUCAUUAUGUAAUGCCUCUCUUUAUCUCUUAUAAUUUUCUUUGUUCUGAAUUUAUUUUGUGUGAAAUUAAUACAGCAAAUCCAGCUUUCUUUUGAUUAAUAUGAGCACGAUAUAUCAUUCUUCAUCCCUUUACUUUUGGUCUGUGUCUUUAUAUUAAAAGCAAGUUUCUGGUAGACAACGUAUCUUAUUUUUUAGUCACUCUGAGAAUCUCUAUUUUUUAAUUCAUAUAUUUAACCAUUGACAUUUAAAGUGAUUGUUGAUAUUUUGGAUUAAUAUCUACCAUAUUUGUUACUGUUUCUAUUCAUUACCCUUUCUUUUAUUAUUUUUUGUCUUCCAUUCUUUUGUUUUUUUCUGAUUUUUAGUUGAACAUUUUAUACGAUUCCAGUUUUUCCCUCUCUUAGUAUAUCAUUUAUACCUUUUUGAAACUCGUUUUAGCAAUUGUCCUUGAGUUUGCAAUAUAAAUUUGCAAUUAAAUCCGAGUCUUCUUUCAAUAACACUAUAACCUUUCACAGGUAGUGCAAGUACCUUAUAUCAGUGUAUUCCUAAUUACUUUCUUCUGUCCCUGGCAGCAUUGCUGUCAUUCAUUGCACUUAUCCAUAAGCUAUAAUCACUGAUUAAUACAUUGCUGCUAUUAGUAUUUGAGCAAAUUGUUGCAUAGUAAAUCAUCUAAGAAUGAGAAAAAUUAAAGAUUUAAUUUUGUCUUCAUUUAUUCCUUCUCUCAUGUACUUCCUUUCCUUUCGUAGACUUGAGUCUCUGACUUUUAUAUUUUUCUUCUUCCUGAAGUAUCUCUUUUAACAUUUCUUGCAAGGCAGGUCUACUGGUAACAAAUUCCUCAUUUUUUGCUUCUCUGAGAAAGUCUUUGUUUCUCUUUCCCAUCGGAAAAAUAAUUUUGCUGAAUACAGAAUUCUAGGUUGGUAUUGCUUUAUCUUCUUCUUCUUUUUUAAACACUUUAAAUAUUUCAUUCUCUUCUUGCUUGCAUGGUUUCUGAACUGAAGUCUGAUGUAAUUCUUAUCCUUGCUUCUCUACAAGCCUGACACCAGUCACCACGUUUCCCACUCAUCCUCCAGGUACGCAGCUCUUUCUCUAGAGAAGUUCCCACAGAUCUCACCUCACUGGAUACUUCUUCCACAGCAGUCUUCAGAAAUGCAGCUAUCAUUGUCUUGCCUGAAUAAAAAGAUAUGUCAGAAAAAACUCUGCAAAGACUGAACUUCAGGAUGUUAUAAUCUCGUGAAGAAUUGAGAAGAUGAAGUAUUCUGAAAGAUAAGGAAAAAUGGCACUAGUUAGAGUCACUGAAAAACUCACUUGCUGAUGUCCCUGUCACCCUCUGCUAACUUCUAAGGAGAAAGAAGUUAUGUAUUUAUGAAACAAUUUUGAAGCUCCACCUGUCAAACUUUGUAACUUUCUGUUUCAGUAGUCAGAGAAAUUGAACAUUUCCCGUUUGUAAACAGUAAUCUUAGCCACAAGAAGAAAUGAUAGUUAAGUGCUCCAUCUUUGCUUUUUUGACUUAAAAAUAUCAGUGGCUGAAAGGAGUGUGAACAUAAGAAUUUUCUUAUUCAGCUGACUUACAUGUGGGUCGUUAGAAACCUGUAGCCUGGAAUGAGGCUUAAUACAUCACAUGAGAAAACUGAGUCACCCAGCCUCUUCUCCUGCUUUCCUGUUAGAGCAGCAGUGGACAGAGGAGAUAUUAGUAGAGGCAUAUAUCACUGCUAGUACCUCACUGCAUCUCCUGGAAUGGGGAGGGUCUUCUAGGAAAUUGCUUUUGUUUAAACGGUACAUCAGCAUUCAUCCAAUUAUUAAUAACUGGCAAACUGGAAGCUUGACAGACGUAGAUGGUGAUUAUGAAUAUAUAAAUCCUUACUCAAAUGUGUCAAAGGAGUUUGGCACUCGUUGCCCUUUUGACUAUGCCUAGGGUGCAUUAUCUCAAUGAUUAAAAUCGUGAUUAUUUAUGCUUUCUGCAUUAUUCAUGGAUAAAUACAAAUCAGUGAUGAUCAUGUAUUAUGACAGUAUUGAAGCUUUGAAAAUUCUGGAAGAGCACUAAGCAUCUAGAAGAGUAAAGGGCCUGAGAAAUCCUUGUCCUUCAGGAUUUUUCUGUGACAUGGUGGAUGCACUCUGGAGUAUCAUAAGCCCUGAGAUAUCAAAUAAAAGGCACCAGUCAGCAGACAGUAUUGUGGUAACCCACCAGCUCAUCUGCAAGAAGAAUGUGGCCAUGACUGGAAGAAGAGUCCCAAAAGAUAGCUAUUGUAGCCAAAUGAUUCGAGGCCAUCUAUGAGAAGAAAAAAGCUGAUUGUCUUAAUCCAAAUGCAACAUCAUAGAGGAAAAAGUUGAAGUUUAGAUUUGAAACCAUCUGAAUAACUCCACUAAAGCAGGAGUAAGUUAGGAAAAAUCAAGGAGGAUCUGGAGUAAUAGCCUACUUGUGUGUGUUCAUUGUUCUCUUACAGACUUUAGUUUCCUGGUUAUAUGGAUGCUUCAAGCUAUCUUAAGUAAAGAGUAGACAGUAAAGAGAGUUCACAGAGGGCCCCAAUUCAAAGUUUGGAGACUAGAGGAACUCAUGGCAGGAAUGACCAUGAUAAGGACAUAUUUCUGCCCUUUCUAAGAAACCAAUUCAUGUGAUCUGAUACCCUCUGUUGAUUUUCCAGCAGACAUCAUGCAAAUUGCUGACUCAAAUAAAAGUAAUCCCUAACAAUACUCCCUUAUCCAAACUGUGUAAUUGGAAUUUUAAUAAAUGGACUAAAGUAAUGCUCAAAAUUGUGCAGUUUUACUGAUUUAUGGGCAGUGGCCAAUUAAGAGGGGUUUUAGGUCAUUGUGUAAAAAGCUCGCUAGUAGAAAAUGUGAGAACUCCCACAAACACAAG
ensembl:lncRNA